rnacentral:rRNA from 1 species
GGGAUAACCCUCCGAAAGGAGGGCUAAUACCAGAUAGGCUCACCUGACUGCAUAGUUGGGUGGGUAAUGGUGGCCUCGACCGCAAGGUUGCUACUGCUUAAGGAGGGGCCCGCGUCCCAUCAGCUUGUUGGUAGGGUAACGGCCUACCAAGGCGUUUGACGGGUAGCUGGCCUGAGAGGGUGGUCAGCCACACUGGGACUGAGACACUGCCCAGACUCCUACGGGAGGCUGCAGUCGAGAAUCUUUGGCAAUGGGCGAAAGCCUGACCAUGCGACGCCGCGUGCGGGAUGAAGGCCUUCGGGUCGUAAACCGCUGUCGCGAGGGACGAAACCCCGCUCGUCUAACAGAGGAGCAGGGCUGACGGUACCUCGAGAGGAAGCCACGGCAAACUCCGUGCCAGCAGCCGCGGUGAUACGGAGGUGGCGAGCGUUGCUCGGAUUCACUGGGUGUAAAGGGCAAGUAGGCGGCCCCGGAAGUCGGGUGUGAAAGCCCACGGCUCAACCGUGGAACGGCGUCCGAAACUCCGGGGCUUGAGGACAGCAGAGGCGAACGGAAUCCCCGGUGUAAGGGUGAAAUCUGUAGAGAUCGGGAGGAACACCAGUGGCGAAGGCGGUUCGCUGGGCUGUCCCUGACGCUGAGAGGCGAAAGCUAGGGGAGCAAACAGGAUUAGAUACCCUGGUAGUCCUAGCUGUAAACGAUGAGCACUAGGUGUUGGCUCGCUUUGGCGGGUCAGUGCCGAAGGUAACCCGUUAAGUGCUCCACCUGGGAACUACGGCCGCAAGGUUGAAACUCAAAGGAAUUGACGGGGGCCAGCACAAGCGGUGGAACAUGUGGUUCAAUUCGAUGCUACGCGAAGAACCUUACCCAGGCUUGACAUGCAGGAAGUAGAAACCUGAAAGGGCGACGAUUCGUAACCAGUGAACACCUGCACAGGUGCUGCAUGGCUGUCGUCAGCUCGUGCCGUGAGGUGUUGGCUUAAGUGCCACAACGAGCGCAACCAUUACUGUUAGUUGCCAUCGGCUCCGCAAGGAGGCCGGGCACCCUAGCGGGACUGCCAACGACGAGUUGGAGGAAGGUGGUGAUGACGUCAAGUCCGUACGGCCUUUAUGCCUGGGGCCACACACGUGUUACAAUGGGGUCGACAACGCGCUGCCAACCCGCGAGGGU